GGGGAUUUAGCUCAGUGGUAGGGUGCUUGCCUAGCAAGCACAAGGCCCUGGGUUCAGUCCCCAGCUCCG
rnacentral:tRNA from 1 species